AUCUGGUGGUGAGGGCAACUGGCACAUAGUUUCUUAAAUCUCUCCCAGUAUUUAUAUAAGCUCUCUCCACUGAGUUUUCUAAUGCCAGAAAUAUCCUUUCUGAUGGU
rnacentral:snoRNA from 1 species